rnacentral:rRNA from 1 species
ACGGGGUGCAGCAGGCGCGAAAACUUCACAAUGGAGGCAACUCCGAUGAGGGAAUUCCUAGUGCUAGCACAUUAGUGUUAGCUUUUCUUAAGCGUAGAUAACUUAAGGAAUAAGGGCUGGGUAAGUCGGGUGCCAGCCGCCGCGGUAAUACCCGCAGCCCAAGUGGUGGUCGAUUUUAUUGAGUCUAAAACGUUCGUAGCCGGUUUGUUAAAUCCUUGGGUAAAUCGAGAUGCUUAACAUUUCGAAUUCCGAAGAGACCGCCAAACUUGGGACCGGGAGAGGCGAGAGGUACUUCUGGGGUAGGGGUAAAAUCCUGUAAUCCUAGAAGGACCACCGGUGGCGAAGGCGUCUAGCUAGAACGGAUCCGACGGUGAGGGACGAAGCCCUGGGUCGCAAACGGGAUUAGAUACCCCGGUAGUCCAGGGUGUAAACGCUGCCGACUUGGUGUUGGAGGCCCUUCGGGGGCAUUCAGUGCCGGAGAGAAGUUGUUAAGUCGGCUACUUGGGGAGUAACGUCCGCAAGGAUGAACUAAAGGAAUGGCGGGGAGCAC